rnacentral:rRNA from 1 species
UACGGAGGGUGCGAGCGUUGUCCGGAAUCACUGGGCGUAAAGGGCGCGUAGGCGGCGCGGAUAGUCGGCGGUGAAAGCCCGGAGCUCAACUCCGGGUCGGCCGUCGAUACUUCCGGGCUUGAGCACUGUAGAGGCAGAUGGAAUUCCGGGUGUAGCGGUGGAAUGCGUAGAGAUCCGGAAGAACACCGGUGGCGAAGGCGGUUCUCUGGGCCUUACCUGACACUGAGGAGCGAAAGCGUGGGGAGCGAACAGG